rnacentral:misc_RNA from 1 species
AAGUUAUAACAAGGUUUCUGUAAGUAAACCUACAAAAGGAUCAUUAAUAAGAUUAUACCCCUUAAAGUAGACCUCUUACCCCCUAUUUACUGUACUUAUUGCUUUAAUAGUCCUAUUAUAAGACAGGCUACUAGAGGGCCUUUAAACCUGUAUUAUUAUUGUUAUCUAAGUACUAUACAAUAGUUAAAA